rnacentral:rRNA from 1 species
AGUAGGCCCAUACCACCCUAAACGUGCCUGAUCUUGGAAACUAAGCAGGGUCAGACCUGGUUAGUACUGGAAUGGGAGGCCAUAUUU